rnacentral:rRNA from 1 species
GACGAACGCUGGCGGCGUGCCUAAUACAUGCAAGUAGGACGCAGUUGCGAACGGGUGAGUAACGCGUAGGUAACUACCUAUUAGAGGGGGAUAAAUAUUGGAAACGAUAGCUAAUACCGCAUACUAGUAGAUGGACCUUCGUUGUAUUAGCUAGUAGGUUGGGUAAUGGCCUACCUAGGCAACGAUACAUAGCCGACCUGGGAAGGUGGUCGGGCAAACUGGGACUGAGGAACGGGCCAGACUCCUUCGGGGGGCAACAGUAGGGAAUCGUCGGCAAAGGGGGGAACGCUGACCGGGGAAAGCCGCGUGAGUGAAGAAGGUUUUCGGGUCGUAAAGCUCUGUUGUUAAGGGAGCGGUACUUAACCAGAAAGGGACGGCUAACUACGUGCCAGCAGCCGCGGUAAUAC